rnacentral:rRNA from 1 species
AGCCCUACGGGGUGCAGCAGUUAGGAAUUUUCUGCAAUGUACGAAAGUAUGACAGAUUGAGUCAGAGUGCUUUUCAUAUGAAAAGCUUUUGCCAAAUGUAAAAAGUUUGGCGAAUAAGGACUGGGUAAGACGAGUGCCAGCCGCCGCGGUAAUACUCGCGGUCCAAGUCGCAGCCAUCAUUAUUGGGUCUAAAACAUCCGUAGCUUGCUUAAUAAGUUUCUUGUGAAAUUCCAUGUCUCAAAUAUGGAGCGGGCAAGAAGUACUGUUAAGCUAGAGACUGGAAGACGUAAGAAGUACGUUUGGAGUAGCGGUAAAAUGUGUUAAUCCCAGACGGACUAACAACAGCGAAGGCAUCUUACGAGGACAGUUCUGACAGUAAGGGAUGAAGGCUAGGGGCGCAAAAGGGAUUAGAUACCCCUGUAGUCCUAGCAGUAAACACUGCACACUAAACAUUAGUACCUCCUCGAGAGGUGUUAGUGCUGAAGAGAAGUCGAAGAGUGUGCUACCUGGGAAGUAUAGUCGCAAGGCUGAAACUUAAAGGAAUUGGCGGGGAGACACUACAACGGGUGACGCGUGCGGUUCAAUUAGAUUCUACACCGUGAACCUCAC